rnacentral:rRNA from 1 species
CCUACGGGAGGCAGCAGUGGGGAAUAUUGCACAAUGGGGGAAACCCUGAUGCAGCAACGCCGCGUGAGUGAAGAAGUAUUUCGGUAUGUAAAGCUCUUUUUGCAGGGAAGAAGAUGACGGUACCUGAAUAAGAAGCCCCGGCUAACUACGUGCCAGCAGCGGCGGUAAUACGUAGGGGGCAAGCGUUAUCCGGCUUCACUGGGUGUAAAGGGAGCGCAGACGGGAGUGCAAGUCAGGAGUGAAAGCCCGCGGCCCAACCCCGGAACUGCUCUGGAAACUGGGCGGCUAGAGUACUGGAGAGGCAGGCGGAAUUCCUGGUGUAGCGGUGAAAUGCGUAGAUAUUAGGAGGAACACCAAUGGCGAAGGCGGCCUGCUAGACAGUAACUGACGUUGAGGCUCGAAAGCGUGGGGAGCAAACAGGAUUAGAUACCCUUGUAGUC